CGGAGUCGGACUGGGUAAUCUCUGCAGGCAACUGUGAUGUAGCGAGUAUCUCACAUUCACCUGGAGAGGUUCCGCGGUCUGUCUGC
rnacentral:pre_miRNA from 1 species